rnacentral:rRNA from 1 species
GGCCGAUUAGCUAGUUGGCGAGGUAAUGGCUCACCAAGGCAAUGAUCGGUAGCCGGACUGAGAGGUUGGCCGGCCACACUGGAACUGAGACACGGUCCAGCCUCCUACGGGAGGCAGCAGUGGGGAAUCUUGCACAAUGGGCGAAAGCCUGAUGCAGCAACGCCGCGUGGGGGAUGAAGCUUCUCGGAGUGUAAACCCCUUUCGACCCGGAAGAAAGCCCGCAAGGGUUUGACGGUACGGGUAUAAGAAGCCCCGGCUAACUACGUGCCAGCAGCCGCGGUAAUACGUAGGGGGCCAGCGUUGCUCGGAAUUACUGGGCGUAAAGGGUCCGUAGGCGGUGUGGCAAGUCGGGAGUGAAAUCUCUGGGCUUAACCCAGAGGCUGCUUCCGUAACUGCCGUGCUAGAGUGUGAGAGAGGCGAGUGGAAUUGCGGGUGUAGCGGUGAAAUGCGUAGAUAUCCGCAGGAACAUCCGAGGCGAAAGCGGCUCGCUGGAUCACUACUGACGCUGAGGGACGAAAGCUAGGGGAGCA